rnacentral:rRNA from 1 species
GACGAACGCUGGCGGCGUGCUUAACACAUGCAAGUCGAACGGAAAGGCCCUGCUUUUGUGGGGUGCUCGAGUGGCGAACGGGUGAGUAACACGUGAGUAACCUGCCCUUGACUUUGGGAUAACUUCAGGAAACUGGGGCUAAUACCGGAUAGCAGCUCCUGCUCCAUGGUGGGGGUUGGAAAGUUUCGGCGGUUGGGGAUGGACUCGCGGCUUAUCAGCUUGUUGGUUGGGUAGUGGCUUACCAAGGCUUUGACGGGUCGCCGGCAUGAGAGGGUGACCGGCCACAAGGGGACUGAGAUACGGCCCAGACUCCUACGGGAGGCAGCAGUGGGGAAUAUGGCACAAUGGGCGGAAGCCUGAUGCAGCAACGCCGCGUGCGGGAUGACGGCCUUCGGGUUGUAAACCGCUUUCGCCUGUGACGAAGCGUGAGUGACGGUAAUGGGUAAAGAAGCACCGGCUAACUACGUG